UUUCUGUGGUUUUGCUGACAGCUCCCACCUGGUUGCAGUAAUAAACUCUGCUCUUGGCAUCUUUACCUGUCACAGGCUGACUCAGAGGAAGGAGAAUGCCUUGGAGAAGCUUGCCUUUCGUUACAAGCAAGUCAGCUGGGCCUGAGGAAACAUGAAGAGUGAUUUUCUGUUGGGCUAUACAUCAAAUAAAGUCUCUUUUGCAGAA